rnacentral:rRNA from 1 species
UCGAACGGCAGCAUGGGCUUCGGCCUGAUGGCGAGUGGCGAACGGGUGAGUAAUACAUCGGAACGUGCCCCGUAGUGGGGGAUAACCAGUCGAAAGAUUGGCUAAUACCGCAUAUGCUCUGAGGAGGAAAGCGGGGGAUCGCAAGACCUCGCGCUAUGGGAGCGGCCGAUGUCCGAUUAGCUUGUUGGUGAGGUAAAGGCUCACCAAGGCGACGAUCGGUAGCUGGUCUGAGAGGAUGAUCAGCCACACUGGGACUGAGACACGGCCCAGACUCCUACGGGAGGCAGCAGUGGGGAAUUUUGGACAAUGGGGGGAACCCUGAUCCAGCCAUGCCGCGUGAGUGAAGAAGGCCUUCGGGUUGUAAAGCUCUUUUGUACGGAAAGAAAAGGUCGAGGCUAAUACCCUUGAUCCUUGACGGUACCGUAAGAAUAAGCACCGGCUAACUACGUGCCAGCAGCCGCGGUAAUACGUAGGGUGCGAGCGUUAAUCGGAAUUACUGGGCGUAAAGCGUGCGUAGGCGGUUCGUUGUGU